rnacentral:rRNA from 1 species
GUGGGGAAUAUUGGACAAUGGGCGAAAGCCUGAUCCAGCCAUGCCGCGUGUGUGAAGAAGGUCUUCGGAUUGUAAAGCACUUUAAGUUGGGAGGAAGGGCAGUAAGUUAAUACCUUGCUGUUUUGACGUUACCGACAGAAUAAGCACCGGCUAACUUCGUGCCAGCAGCCGCGGUAAUACGAAGGGUGCAAGCGUUAAUCGGAAUUACUGGGCGUAAAGCGCGCGUAGGUGGUUUUGUAAGUUGGAGGUGAAAUCCCCGGGCUCAACCUGGGAACUGCAUACAAAACUGCAUGACUAGAGUACGGUAGAGGGUAGUGGAAUUUCCUGUGUAGCGGUGAAAUGCGUAGAUAUAGGAAGGAACACCAGUGGCGAAGGCGACUACCUGGACUGAUACUGACACUGAGGUGCGAAAGCGUGGGGAGCAAACAGGAUUAGAAACCCCUGUAGUCC